GACGAACGCUGGCGGCGUGCUUAACACAUGCAAGUCGAACGGAAAGGCCCUGCUUUUGUGGGGUGCUCGAGUGGCGAACGGGUGAGUAACACGUGAGUAACCUGCCCUUGACUUUGGGAUAACUUCAGGAAACUGGGGCUAAUACCGGAUAGGAGCUCCGGCUGCAUGGUGGGGGUUGGAAAGUUUCGGCGGUGGGGGAUGGACUCGCGGCUUAUCAGCUUGUUGGUGGGGUAGUGGCUUACCAAGGCUUUGACGGGUAGCCGGCCUGAGAGGGUGACCGGCCACAUUGGGACUGAGAUACGGCCCAGACUCCUACGGGAGGCAGCAGUGGGGAAUAUUGCACAAUGGGCGGAAGCCUGAUGCAGCAACGCCGCGUGCGGGAUGACGGCCUUCGGGUUGUAAACCGCUUUCGCCUGUGACGAAGCGUGAGUGACGGUAAUGGGUAAAGAAGCACCGGCUAACUACGUG
rnacentral:rRNA from 1 species